AAGUCGUAACAAGGUUUCCGUAGGUGAACCUGCGGAAGAAGCAUUAACAGGUAUCCAAACGUUAAAACCCCCCCCGUGAACCUUCAUCCUGCUCUUGUAACCCGCGUAGUUCGCAAUCUCUGAUAAAUCAUAGCCCGGAAAGUUGUAGUGAUUCAGAGACCUCUGGCUACGGCAAUGUUUCCCCAAGCAGUCAGUGUCGGAAAGUGUCAUUGAUUGUGCAAGGAUAGCGCUUCUCCGAUUCCUGUAGACCGUACACUCGGGCCGGAGCUUUGCCAAAGGGUCCCCAUGCCCCCUAAUAACCCCACAGUUUAAUGUGAAGCUCAAUGUAUUACAUUGGGUAAACAAACCGAACAACUGUUAACAAUGGAUAUCUUGGUUCUC
rnacentral:misc_RNA from 1 species